UUCUUCGGAGAGUUUGAUCCUGGCUCAGGAUGAACGCUGGCGGCGUGCCUAAUACAUGCAAGUCGAGCGAACUGAUUAGAAGCUUGCUUCUAUGACGUUAGCGGCGGACGGGUGAGUAACACGUGGGCA
rnacentral:rRNA from 1 species